GUCCUUCUUCAGUGCCACUUUCCACUCUCGUGCACAUUUUCAUCUUCACAGCCGCUCAGCUGGAGGAAUUUGGUGUUACAUGAGGCUCCGAUGGUUGCACUCAUUAACUCCAUCAGUCGCGGGAGGCGUGGGCCUGAACUCAAGCUCUGGAAUCACCAGCUAAUCGCUGAAGAACAGUCGACCAUCUGAGGAUCGAACCGAACCAUUCCCAUGAAUGUUACUGUAGAGCGAACAAAGCUUUCUACACAGGAUGUUGAGCAUCUUCUCAUGAGGAGUUUGACCUCAGGCUUGUCAUUGGCGCUCUGAUGAUGGACCAGCAGUUGGCGACCAUCCUUGGGUUGAUGCUCAUGCUCUCGUUCCUCGUCGCCGACAGGUACUACGUCAAAAACGUGCCUCCCUUCAUUGCUUGGAUCAGAUAUCUUUCAAUUAGCCACUACACAUACAAGCUCUUGAUGGGGUCACAGUUCAAGCCUGAGGAUGCAUACCCCUGUGGUGAGUCUUCAUGCUUGAUUAGGGACUGUCCGGGGAUCAAGAAGGUGGGGCUUGAUGGGCAUGUUGUCUCGGAAAUCGCAUUGGAGAUAAUGUUUGUUUGGUAUAGGCUCAUUGCCUACAUUUUAUUGAUGAGGAUUGGGAUGACCAAGAGAAGAAAGUCGCUAGUGUUUUUUUUUCCCAACUCGAUCGGGCAGUCCAUUGUCCUCGCGAUCCGUCAUCGAUAUCGUCAAGUACAACAGGAAGUGAUGAUGAUGUGCAAUUGACUUCAGUUCCUUAAUAUUCUCUGUUUUGAUCCGGUGCUGGGACGUUUGGAGUUGUUAGGUUAAGUUAAUUGCAGGAUCGUCCAUUGUGACGACAAGAAACAACGAGGACUGUGUGAGAUCAGUUUCGUUAUUCAUAUGUUAAUC